UACGUAGGUAGCAAGCGUUAUCCGGAUUUAUUGGGCGUAAAGGGAACGCAGGCGGUCUUUUAAGUCUGAUGUGAAAGCCUUCGGCUUAACCGGAGUAGUGCAUUGGAAACUGGGAGACUUGAGUGCAGAAGAGGAGAGUGGAACUCCAUGUGUAGCGGUGAAAUGCGUAGAUAUAUGGAAGAACACCAGUGGCGAAAGCGGCUCUCUGGUCUGUAACUGACGCUGAGGUUCGAAAGCGUGGGUAGCAAACAGG
rnacentral:rRNA from 1 species